CUUUGAGAUAGCUGUUAGGAGAUAUGGAUCAAAUAUCUGAGUUGGUGGAACCCCUUAUGGGGACACAGCCAGUCGCUGCUUUUGAUUUUAACAACUCGGCUUAUUUCGGAGGCACUUGGGCUGCGUUUGGGGGGGGGGCUUUUUAGCUCCCCCGCUUAUAAGCAGAAGACCCAGAAGCGUUUGGUAACCCGACUUCUGAUCAGCUUCUUCCAAAAGCUGCUGCGGCUUCUCUAGAAAAGUAGAAGCUGCCUGACCCCUGCUUUCAGAAGCCAGAAGCCAGGAUCUCACUGUAGCGGUAGUGACUGUAGGUUAAUGAAUCUUUGAAAAUACCGGUCUCUAUCCUCCCUUGGUUGAGGCAAUUACGCAGACGCCAUGGAUACUCCUCUUCAGUCUUCACGCAGACGCUGCUCACUCGAAUCUCUCUAUCUCUCUUUCUGACUGAUGUUAAGCAAGCUGAUGGAGUUCUGUUUUCAGAACAAGAGAGGAAGCGUCUCUUUGAGAAGUGGGGUAUUGCACCGACUCAAAAGCGAGGCUGGAGCUAGCCAACCGCCAUGUCUGUUAUGAUAUUUUUGCUGGUCCAGCCCUGGUAGAUUUUCCGUAGAUCGGAUAUGUCAGGCCAAAGUUUUGAUGCUGUAAGGAAGCUGAAGUUAUUCAGAGAUGAAACAUACAGUGCCUUCUAUUUAAUAAGAACUCACCUGAUGGAAAACUUGGUGUCAUUUAUGUACAGAAUAUGAUAAGAGAACAAGGAUUUUCUUAUUGUGA